UCGCUACUACCGAUUGAAUGGCUUAGUGAGCCCUCUGGAUCGUUGCACUUCCACGGGUAACUGUGGGGAGCAAUUGAAAAGGAGGUCAAACUUGAUCAUUUAGAGGAAGUAA
rnacentral:rRNA from 1 species